AAGGGCAAUGCAUGAUGAACGUGGGCGCUUUUUGAUAUCAGUGGCGGACGGGUGAGUAACGCGUAGGUACCUACCUUUGGGAGAGGGAUACCAAUUGGAAACGAUUGUUAAUACCUCGUAUGCUGAGAGGUGAAAGGCUGGCUUGCCAGUUGCCCAAAGACGGGCUUGCGUCUGAUUAUUUUUGGCUAGUUGGUUGGGGCAAUGGCCCAGCCAAGGUCAUGAUCAGUAGCCGGUCUGAGAGGACGAUCGGCCACACUGGGACUGAGACACGGCCCAGACUCCUACGGGGGGCAGCAGUGAGGAAUCUUCCGCAAUGGGCGAAAGCCUGACGGAGCAAUGCCGCGUGAGGGAGGAAGGCCCGUGGGUCGUAAACCUCUUUUCUCGGAGAAGAAUUCUUGACGGUAUUCGAGGAAAAAGCAUCGGCUAACUCUGUGCCAGCAGCCGCGGUAAU
rnacentral:rRNA from 1 species